UACGUAGGGUGCAAGCGUUAAUCGGAAUUACUGGGCGUAAAGCGUGCGCAGGCGGUUCGCUAAGACAGAUGUGAAAUCCCCGGGCUUAACCUGGGAACUGCAUUUGUGACUGGCGGGCUAGAGUAUGGCAGAGGGGGGUAGAAUUCCACGUGUAGCAGUGAAAUGCGUAGAGAUGUGGAGGAAUACCGAUGGCGAAGGCAGCCCCCUGGGCCAAUACUGACGCUCAGGCACGAAAGCGUGGGGAGCAAACAGG
rnacentral:rRNA from 1 species